rnacentral:tRNA from 1 species
GCGAGUAUGGUGAAGGGGUUAACACGGCGGAUUGUGGUUCCGUUAUGCGUGGGUUCGAAUCCCACUACUCGCCCCA